GACAGAGGUCCCAAGCGUUAGGCGGAAUCACUGGGCUUAAAGCGUGUGUAGGCGGAUGUCUAAGUACCUUGUGAAAUCCCGCGGCUCAACCGCGGAACUGCUUGGUAUACUGGAUGUCUUGAGCCAUCUAGGGGCUACUGGAACAAAUGGUGGAGCGGUGAAAUGCGUAGAUAUCAUUUGGAACGCCAAUGGUGAAAACAAGUAGCUGGGGAUGUGCUGACGCUGAGACACGAAAGCCAGGGGAGCAAACGGG
rnacentral:rRNA from 1 species